GAUGAAUCCUUACUACUAUCUGUGAGUAUAUAAGUGGUGCUUCAUGUGCAGUGAGGAUUUGAGUCAGUGUGUAGUCUAUACAUAUAUAAGUAGUAUGAGCUAAUUCUUGGUAAACUUUGUUUUUUUACAGAUAUGCACACAUCAGACCAUGCUGAUUUGCACUGGACCCACAUAAUUGGUGAACAUCACUUUUUAUUUGGUAUUGUACUCUAGGUAUGUUAUAGAAUGGUAACUACCAUUUUAUAGUGUUCUGCACAACCCC
rnacentral:lncRNA from 1 species